AAUGAACGCUGGCGGCAGGCCUAACACAUGCAAGUCGAGCGGAGCGGCGGACGGGUGAGUAAUGCCUAGGAAUCUGCCUUGUAGUGGGGGAUAACGUCCGGAUACGGGCGCUAAUACCGCAUACUAUCAGAUGAGCCUAGGUCGGGUUUGCUAGUUGGUGGGUUAAAGGCCUACCAAGGCGACGAUCCGUAACUGGGCUGCGAGGAUGAUCAGUCACACUGGAAGUGGGACACGGUCAAGGUUAAUACGAGAGGCAGCAGUGGGAAAUAUUGGACAAAGGGCGAAAACAUGAUCCAGCCAUGCCGCGUGUGUGAAGAAGGUCUUCGGAUUGUAAAGAACGUUAAGGUGGGAGGCGUUAACAACAGAAUAAGCACCGGCUAACUUCGUGCCAGCAGCCGCGGUAAUAA
rnacentral:rRNA from 1 species